ACGAACCCUAAUUAAUGAGCGACAAGUGCGCGCCCAGACUCUGGGCUUUUAUGAAGUUGGUGCCGAAGCUCGAAGAUGAAACGCUGCUGGAUGACUGGCUAAUAUUUUAGUAGGCGGAGGAGACAGCGACAGCUGCAGCGAUUUAUAAAGACACAGGCGGAAUUCCAAGGAAAUAAUGUCACAGCUGGCUGUUGACCUUGAAAAAAUCGUUGAAUGCCCAUUGCGAUAAUCCCCCAAAUUGGCCUACUGUGCGGGAGAGCUUAUAGCAGACGAGCUUACGAGCAUGAAUUAUAG
ensembl:ncRNA lncRNA:CR44701 long non-coding RNA:CR44701